rnacentral:tRNA from 1 species
UCCCAGGUGGCUCAGAUGGUAAAGUAUCUGUCUGCAAUGCAGGAGACUUGGGUUCGAUCCCUGUUGGGAA